UGGGGGAUGACGCAGAUACUCCUCUCCCUCGAUCUCUAUUAAGAUCUGUGCACAGAGAGCAGAAAGAGAAAUAUAGAAGUCGUACCUGCUGCUAUAAUUGUUCGGCCUUGGACUCCAUCGGCAGGGUGAAGCUUCUUUGUUGGUCGUUGACUGACUUGGUUCAGUCAGAGUUUCAUCUUUCUUUCAUUUCUUUUUUUGACAUUUUUCUUCUGUUUGAUACUGGUCAGAAGCACCCUCAUUCGCAUGAAUAUACUUGUAUGUGCACUCCAAAAGUUUAGUAUAGGUCUAAGGGAGAGUUUUAUCCAGAAAAUAAAUAAAUCUGGAUCCCUUCAGAUCUUUUUUUAUGGUCGAGAUGGCCAUAUCUUUAUUGAAGUUUCUGACUUUAAGCAUGGCCGUGUUAAAGCGAGUCACAAAGUCUCUCAGUAUCUCUAUCGCUCCUUGCUUGAUGGAGAAGAGACUGUCUGAUAAUUGCGGCAUCUUUCAGUUAGUGCUAAAGUGAGCCACGAAUGAAUAUUCGAGCUGCUCAUACUUUUCAAUUGGAGAUCAAAAUUCCAGGCUUGAGCAGUCUUCCGAAUAGUAGCCAGAAAGUUGAUGUAUAAGAGGGCAUCGGUCGCUUUCUGAAUCAUCAUAAGAAUCUUGUAACUUUUCAGAUGGUCAAUUGGAUCAGUAGAGCCGUCAUAUAGCUCCAUUGUGGCAUCUUGAAUCGGGACGGGAUCGACUCAUCUAAGAUAUGUUGAGAGAAGGAUUGAGCG
rnacentral:lncRNA from 1 species